GUGAACGCUGGCGGUCGGCCUCACCCCUGCACGUCGAACGGCAGCACCGUAAGAGCUUGCUCUUACGGGUGGCGAGUGGCGGACGGGUGAGGAAUACAUCGGAAUCUACUUUUUCGUGGGGGAUAACGUAGGGAAACUUACGCUAAUACCGCAUACGACCUACGGGUGAAAGCAGGGGAUCUUCGGACCUUGCGCGAUUGAAUGAGCCGAUGUCGGAUUAGCUAGUUGGCGGGGUAAAGGCCCACCAAGGCGACGAUCCGUAGCUGGUCUGAGAGGAUGAUCAGCCACACUGGAACUGAGACACGGUCCAGACUCCUACGGGAGGCAGCAGUGGGGAAUAUUGGACAAUGGGCGCAAGCCUGAUCCAGCCAUACCGCGUGGGUGAAGAAGGCCUUCGGGUUGUAAAGCCCUUUUGUUGGGAAAGAAAAGCAGCAGGUUAAUACCCCGCUGUUCUGACGGUACCCAAAGAAUAAGCACCGGCUAACUUCGUG
rnacentral:rRNA from 1 species